CACACAGCACGAGGCAGGACGUUUGUUCCUCAGUGCGCAUGGGCAUCCAGAGGAAGAGGCCGCUAGAUAACGACCCGAUCGGAUAUCAUGGCGGAAUCUCCGGCUUCAUCUGGCGACAAUCAAAAGGACUGUGGCAAAAAGAUGAUGGAGUUGAACAAAAGGGUUUAGAGAGAAUGAUCGAAGACAUGGAAAAUCAAUCAGUGCAGCUGAAGUGGAUGACCUAUGACCUGGUGGUGCAGUGGACCUGAUCCAGUGGAUGGAUUCCACCUCCACCACACUAACAGAGAUGCAUGAUUCACUAGGAAUGUCUGUUCUGACCUUUAUUCAAAUAAUAUACCAGGCUACUAUAUGGAUUUCUAUGUGAACCAGUGGCCAUGCAGGGUGACUUUACACUGACUGAGUGUAAUCUAGUUGACUGUCUGUGGUGUUUCAGAUGGAGAGAAGAGAGAGGAGCACAGAACAGGGUGACUUUACACUGACUGAGUGUCAUCUAGUUGACUGUCUGUGGUGUUUCAGAUGGAGAGAAGAGAGAGGAGCACAGAACAGGGUGACUUUACACUGACUGAGUGUAAUCUAGUUGACUGUCUGUGGUGUUUCAGAUGGAGAGAAGAGAGAGGAGCACAGAACAGGGUGACUUUACACUGACUGAGUGUCAUCUAGUUGACUGUCUGUGGUGUUUCAGAUGGAGAGAAGAGAGAGGAGCACAGAACAGGGUGACUUUACACUGACUGAGUGUCAUCUAGUUGACUGUCUGUGGUGUUUCAGAUGGAGAGAAGAGAGAGGAGCACAGAACAGGUUGACUUUACACUGACUGAGUGUAAUCUAGUUGACUGUCUGUGGUGUUUCAGAUGGAGAGAAGAGAGAGGAGCACAGAACAGGGUGACUUUACACUGACUGAGUGUAAUCUAGUUGACUGUCUGUGGUGUUUCAGAUGGAGAGAAGAGAGAGGAGCACAGAACAGGGUGACUUUACACUGACUGAGUGUCAUCUAGUUGACUGUCUGUGGUGUUUCAGAUGGAGAGAAGAGAGAGGAGCACAGAACAGGGUGACUUUACACUGAGUGUCAUCUAGUUGACUGUCUGUGGUGUUUCAGAUGGAGAGAAGAGAGAGGAGCACAGAACAGGGUGACUUUACACUGACUGAGUGUCAUCUAGUUGACUGUCUGUGGUGUUUCAGAUGGAGAGAAGAGAGAGGAGAACAGAACAGGGUGACUUUACACUGACUGAGUGUCAUCUAGUUGACUGUCUGUGGUGUUUCAGAUGGAGAGAAGAGAGAGGAGCACAGAACAGGGUGACUUUACACUGAGUGUCAUCUAGUUGACUGUCUGUGGUGUUUCAGAUGGAGAGAGGAGCACAGAACAGGGUGACUUUACACUGAGUGUCAUCUAGUUGACUGUCUGUGGUGUUUCAGAUGGAGAGAAGAGAGAGGAGCACAGAACAGGGUGACUUUACACUGACUGAGUGUCAUCUAGUUGACUGUCUGUGGUGUUUCAGAUGGAGAGAAGAGAGAGGAGCACAGAACAGGGUGACUUUACACUGAGUGAGUGUCAUCUAGUUGACUGUCUGUGGUGUUUCAGAUGGAGAGAAGAGAGAGGAGCACAGAACAGGGUGACUUUACACUGACUGAGUGUAAUCUAGUUGACUGUCUGUGGUGUUUCAGAUGGAGAGAAGAGAGAGGAGCACAGAACAGGGUGACUUUACACUGACUGAGUGUCAUCUAGUUGACUGUCUGUGGUGUUUCAGAUGGAGAGAAGAGAGAGGAGCACAGAACAGGGUGACUUUACACUGACUGAGUGUCAUCUAGUUGACUGUCUGUGGUGUUUCAGAUGGAGAGAGGAGCACAGAACAGGGUGACUUUACACUGAGUGUCAUCUAGUUGACUGUCUGUGGUGUUUCAGAUGGAGAGAAGAGAGAGGAGCACAGAACAGGGUGACUUUACACUGACUGAGUGUAAUCUAGUUGACUGUCUGUGGUGUUUCAGAUGGAGAGAAGAGAGAGGAGCACAGAACAGGGUGACUUUACACUGACUGAGUGUCAUCUAGUUGACUGUCUGUGGUGUUUCAGAUGGAGAGAAGAGAGAGGAGCACAGAACAGGGUGACUUUACACUGACUGAGUGUCAUCUAGUUGACUGUCUGUGGUGUUUCAGAUGGAGAGAAGAGAGAGGAGCACAGAACAGGUUGACUUUACACUGACUGAGUGUCAUCUAGUUGACUGUCUGUGGUGUUUCAGAUGGAGAGAGGAGCACAGAACAGGGUGACUUUACACUGAGUGUCAUCUAGUUGACUGUCUGUGGUGUUUCAGAUGGAGAGAGGAGAACAGAACAGGGUGACUUUACACUGACUGAGUGUAAUCUAGUUGACUGUCUGUGGUGUUUCAGAUGGAGAGAGGAGAGAGGAGCACAGAACAGGGUGACUUUACACUGACUGAGUGUCAUCUAGUUGACUGUCUGUGGUGUUUCAGAUGGAGAGAAGAGAGAGGAGCACAGAACAGGGUGACUUUACACUGACUGAGUGUCAUCUAGUUGACUGUCUGUGGUGUUUCAGAUGGAGAGAAGAGAGAGGAGCACAGAACAGGGUGACUUUACACUGACUGAGUGUCAUCUAGUUGACUGUCUGUGGUGUUUCAGAUGGAGAGAAGAGAGAGGAGCACAGAACAGGGUGACUUUACACUGACUGAGUGUCAUCUAGUUGACUGUCUGUGGUGUUUCAGAUGGAGAGAAGAGAGAGGAGCACAGAACAGGGUGACUUUACACUGACUGAGUGUCAUCUAGUUGACUGUCUGUGGUGUUUCAGAUGGAGAGAAGAGAGAGGAGAACAGAACAGGGUGACUACACUGACUGAGUGUCAUCUAGUUGACUGUCUGUGGUGUUUCAGAUGGAGAGAAGAGAGAGGAGCACAGAACAGGGUGACUUUACACUGACUGAGUGUCAUCUAGUUGACUGUCUGUGGUGUUUCAGAUGGAGAGAAGAGAGAGGAGCACAGAACAGGGUGACUUUACACUGAGUGUCAUCUAGUUGACUGUCUGUGGUGUUUCAGAUGGAGAGAAGAGAGAGGAGCACAGAACAGGGUGACUUUACACUGACUGAGUGUCAUCUAGUUGACUGUCUGUGGUGUUUCAGAUGGAGAGAAGAGAGAGGAGCACAGAACAGGGUGACUUUACACUGAGUGUCAUCUAGUUGACUGUCUGUGGUGUUUCAGAUGGAGAGAAGAGAGAGGAGCACAGAACAGGGUGACUUUACACUGACUGAGUGUCAUCUAGUUGACUGUCUGUGGUGUUUCAGAUGGAGAGAAGAGAGAGGAGCACAGAACAGGGUGACUUUACACUGACUGAGUGUCAUCUAGUUGACUGUCUGUGGUGUUUCAGAUGGAGAGAAGAGAGAGGAGCACAGAACAGGGUGACUUUACACUGACUGAGUGUCAUCUAGUUGACUGUCUGUGGUGUUUCAGAUGGAGAGAAGAGAGAGGAGCACAGAACAGGGUGACUUUACACUGACUGAGUGUCAUCUAGUUGACUGUCUGUGGUGUUUCAGAUGGAGAGAAGAGAGAGGAGAACAGAACAGGGUGACUUUACACUGACUGAGUGUCAUCUAGUUGACUGUCUGUGGUGUUUCAGAUGGAGAGAGGAGCACAGAACAGGGUGACUUUACACUGAGUGUCAUCUAGUUGACUGUCUGUGGUGUUUCAGAUGGAGAGAGGAGCACAGAACAGGGUGACUUUACACUGAGUGUCAUCUAGUUGACUGUCUGUGGUGUUUCAGAUGGAGAGAAGAGAGAGGAGCACAGAACAGGGUGACUUUACACUGACUGAGUGUCAUCUAGUUGACUGUCUGUGGUGUUUCAGAUGGAGAGAAGAGAGAGGAGCACAGAACAGGGUGACUACUGAUCUGGACCACAUUCUGAAGGGGCUGGACUCCAUGUCUGAGUGUCUGGACAGACUGGCAUCUACGUAUGUCUGUAGGGCUCUGGUCAACAGUAGUGCACUAUUGGAAUAGGGUGUCAUUUGAGACUCAAUCAGUGUUCUAAUGUGUAGAUACUAUGCAAAUUGAGUGGGAGGUAGAAGAGGAGGGGGAGGAAGAGGAGGAGGUAGAUGAGGAGGGGGAGGUAGAGGAAGAGGUAGAAGAAG